rnacentral:rRNA from 1 species
AUUGAACGCUGGCGGCAGGCCUAACACAUGCAAGUCGAGCGGAGCGGCGGACGGGCGAGGAAUGCCUACGAAUCUGCCUGGUCGUGGGGGAUAACGUACGGAAACGGGCGAUAAGACCGUAUCCUCUCAGACGAGCCUCGGGCGGAUUAGCUAGUGGGUGGGGUAAUGGCCUACCAAGGCGACGAACCGUAACUGGUCUGAGAGGAUGAUCAGUCACACUGGAACUGAGACACGGUCCAGACUCCUACGGUAGGCAGCAGUGGGGAAUAGUGGAAAAUGGGCGAAAGCCUGAUCCAGCCAUGCCGCGUGUGUGAAGAAGGUCUUCGGAUUGUAAAGCACUUUAAGUUGGGAGGCGUUACCAACAGAAUAAGCACCGGCUAACUACGUGCCAGCCGCCGCGGUAAUUC